ensembl:lncRNA
CAGAACCUGGCUGGAAUCCCCUUCAUGUAUUCAAGUCUCCCAUCUCCCAGAAGCAUGAGCCUGGGCUAUCUGAGGACACCUCUUGAAGCUGUUCCACCAUGAGUAAUCAAGUAUUCAUUGCUGUGUGCAUUUGAAAUUGAUUCUUUCUAUUCCAGGGAAUUCUUAUUCCUCUAUUGGGUCAUCAUAUUAUCGAGCAGUCUGCAUGCUGCAGGAAAUGCCACUGCCCUGCCCCUGGAGCUUUGGGAGCACGUGGCACAGCAAGCCCUGCAUAAGGCUGCUCCCCAUCAAGGUAUUGGGCACUGUGGCACCCACACACUUCUCAGAGCUGCAAACUAAACCUCACACCAUGGACAGUUUCUGCUGAGUCCCUCUGACAUUCCUUGCACUUCAGGCUCAAGUUGGCCUCCUAUGUGGAAUUAGGGUAGGAGCAGCUACAUGCUUCAAAGCCCUACUUUUCCCUUCCUAGAUUCCAAUGAGGCAGUGGACCUGCGUCUGCAUAAGUAAAACGUGAAAGAACAAAUCUAUUUAAAUAUCACUGAAAAAAAGAAUCAUAUUUUGUAAUGACAAAGGUAACCACUAAUGUCAUGAUGUUCUUUUCCUUUUCAGCUCAGUAAAGUCACUAAAACUAAAAAAUUAAGAACACUAAAUUCCCGUCUAGUUAAAUGAGAGAAACUACUGCAUUUAAUACUUCCACACUGAUGCAUGAGAAAGCUUGAUGUCCAUGUUGUUUAAGCCUUUAGGCUGGCAACUAUGUAAAUUGUCAGAACUUGAAUGCAAAGUCCAACAAUUGCUGAGAAGGUUGGAGCUCUUAACACCACAUGGAACAAACAGAUCAAACUCAAUCACCCCCACAAAAACUGCAAUGAACAGUACAAGGGGGCUUGACCUUCACAUUUUAGAAAUGUUUUCAUAACUUAGAUUCCUGUAAGAAUAAUUUUUUGGUUGCAUAUUCACGUCAUGACUUUUUUUUUUUUAAUUAAUGCAGAAAUUCAUCUUCUGUGCUAUUUUUUUUUCACUCUUAAAAAACUCCUACAGAAUCAGAACAGCCCCUGAUGAAAAAAAAAAAUAGGGAAAAAAUAAACUAAAGGCAAUCCUUGCUACAAAGUUAGUACUAUCUGCAAUUCUGCAUCUACUUACUGCUAAUAGGGAAGCUAUUAGAACAUUUGGUCAAAGGUCAGGAAACAACAGGGGCUAGUUUGGAAGUUUGCUGUAGUGAAUUAAUAGAUACAAAUGGAAAUGUGAUUGGAAAAUAUUUUUUCUGUGUCAAACAAAAAUCACCUUACCAGGAAAUCUCAGAAGAAACAAAAGUAUUCUAUGCCCUGGAACAAACAGCCCAGCAAGUCUGAUCUUGUAUGCACUGAAUUCAACGGGAGCUAUCCCAGUAGGUUCUUGGGAAAUCUUAACCACUCAAGCAAAAUAUAAGCAAAAAUAAAAC